AAGGAAGGUGCCUGUGCAGAAGUGAAGGUAGAGAGAGUUAAUGGAGUUUGUAGAAUAGCUAAUUUUUACUAUUUGUUUAAUCUGUUACUAAGGGUCAUUUGUCAAACUGUGGCUGCUGUUCCUGUCCCUCCUUCCCUUGUUCACAGCAAUGAACAGCCUGGGAAAAAUUAUCCCCUUUCCAAAGGAUCAGCAAAGAGGAAGAGUUGAUGAUGAGGGUCCUGAGAAGUGAGGCAAUUGUGCAUGGAUCACUUCCCAGGACACAAAGGCUGUCUGCACACUCUGCACCCAGGAAAUGAGGUUAAUCAACACUUGCUCACAAGGACAGUGAAAAGAUCUUCCUCAUGAUGAUGGUAAGACCAGGAUCUUCACUGCUUGUUUCCUGAGGACAGUGGCAGCUCCACAAGACUUCAUCAGAAAUUGGUGGGGAAGUUGCUCCUCCAAGGAAUGAAGACUUGGACCUUGUACAAAACUGGCAUGUCACUCAGCCAAGGGACAGAAUAAAAGGCAAACAAAGCGGCAGCAUCUCAUACAACAUUCUCAAGGUGGAAUCUUCAAGUGAUGGGCAGCAUGGUUUGUGGGACUUCUUGCCUGGAAGCUUACCUUCAAAAAGAAGUCUGGUGUCUCUGCUUCAGGAAAGGUUUUCCUUCCAUCUGGUUCAUAGGUGGAGCCGUGUACAUCAAUACACACAUGAAUGCAGCAAGUGUGUUCGUUUACCAACCUUUGCACAGGCAAACCUUCAGGCCACUUGUUGUAAUUUUUUCUUUUCUUUG
rnacentral:lncRNA from 1 species